rnacentral:rRNA from 1 species
CCUACGGGAGGCAGCAGUGAGGAAUAUUGGUCAAUGGCCGGAAGGCUGAACCAGCCAAGCCGCGUGAAGGACGAAGGUGCCAAGCAUUGUAAACCUCUUUUGUCAGGGAACAAAGGCGGGGACUAGUCCCCGGAUGAGGGUACCUGAAGAAAAAGCAUCGGCUAACUCCGUGCCAGCAGCCGCGGUAAUACGGAGGAUGCGAGCGUUAUCCGGAUUUAUUGGGUUUAAAGGGUGCGCAGGCGGCCUGUUAAGUCAGCGGUAAAAGCCCGGGGCUCAACCCCGGCGAGCCGUUGAAACUGGCGGGCUGGAGUUGGAGAGAGGUACGCGGAAUGCGCGGUGUAGCGGUGAAAUGCAGAGAUAUCACGCAGAACUCCGAUUGCGAAGGCAGCAUACCGGCGCUCAACUGACGCUCAUGCACGAAAGUGUGGGUAUCGAACAGGAUUAGAUACCCUUGUAGUC